GUGCCAGCCGCCGCGGUAAGACGAAGGGGGCAAGCGUUGUUCGGAAUUACUGGGCGUAAAGGGCGCGUAGGCGGCUCUUUUAGUCAGGCGUGAAAGCCCUGGGCUCAACCUGGGAGUGGCGCUUGAUACUGGAGGGCUAGAGAGUGGGAGAGGUUGGUGGAAUUCCCAGUGUAGAGGUGAAAUUCGUAGAUAUUGGGAAGAACACCGGUGGCGAAGGCGGCCAACUGGACCAUUUCUGACGCUGAGGCGCGAAAGCGUGGGGAGCAAACAGGAUUAGAUACCCCCGUAGUCC
rnacentral:rRNA from 1 species